GAUGAACGCUGGCGGCGUGCCUAAUACAUGCAAGUCGAGCGAACAGAUGAGGAGCUUGCUCCUCUGACGUUAGCGGCGGACGGGUGAGUAACACGUGGAUAACCUACCUAUAAGACUGGGAUAACUUCGGGAAACCGGAGCUAAUACCGGAUAAUAUGUUGAACCGCAUGGUUCAAUAGUGAAAGACGGUUUUGCUGUCACUUAUAGAUGGAUCCGCGCCGCAUUAGCUAGUUGGUAAGGUAACGGCUUACCAAGGCGACGAUGCGUAGCCGACCUGAGAGGGUGAUCGGCCACACUGGAACUGAGACACGGUCCAGACUCCUACGGGAGGCAGCAGUAGGGAAUCUUCGGCAAUGGGCGAAAGCCUGACGGAGCAACGCCGCGUGAGUGAUGAAGGUCUUCGGAUCGUAAAACUCUGUUAUUAGGGAAGAACAAAUGUGUAAGUAACUAUGCACGUCUUGACGGUACCUAAUCAGAAAGCCACGGCUAACUACGUG
rnacentral:rRNA from 1 species